GUUUUAGCUGUGCUACACAUAUACUAAAAUUAGAACAACAGAGAAGAUUAGCAUGGCCCAUGCACAAGGAUGACUUGCAAUAGUAAUGUAACUAUGCAAAAGUCA
ensembl:snRNA U6 U6 spliceosomal RNA